rnacentral:rRNA from 1 species
CCGGCGCACGGGUGAGUAACACGUAUCCAACCUGCCGUCUACUCUUGGACAGCCUUCUGAAAGGAAGAUUAAUACAAGAUGGCAUCAUGAGUCCGCAUGUUCACAUGAUUAAAGGUAUUCCGGUAGACGAUGGGGAUGCGUUCCAUUAGAUAGUAGGCGGGGUAACGGCCCACCUAGUCUUCGAUGGAUAGGGGUUCUGAGAGGAAGGUCCCCCACCAUUGGAACUGAGACACGGUCCAAACUCCUACGGGAGGCAGCAUG